UGGAUUAGGCAUGCGAGUCGUACGAGAACCCCGCAAGGGGGGACAGUGGCGAACGGGGUAGUAAGGCGUAGGUGACGUGCCCUGCGGUCGGGGAUAGCUUAGGGAAACUUAAGGUAAUACCCGAUAAUCCCGGGAGGUUUGAAGACCAUCCGGGCAAAGGUGUGAUUCCAUCACAGGAGCGGCUUGCGUGGUAUUAGCUAGUUGGUGAGGUAACGGCUCACCAAGGCUGCGAUGCCUAGGGGAUGUUAGCGCAUGAUCCCCACCACAGGGACUGAGAUACUGCCCAGACACCUACGGGUGGCUGCAGUCGAGAAUCUUCGGCAAUGGGGGCAACCCUGACCGAGCGACGCCGCGUGUGGGAUGAAGGCCCUUGGGUUGUUUUCCUC
rnacentral:rRNA from 1 species